AAAUGUCCAUUUUCAUUUUUCUUCCUCAAAAAUCCUUUUACUUCUUUCUUUAUUUUCCCUUCCCUUUGUUUUCACUUCCUCCAGUAACUCAGCAGACAGCAGGAGUAUAAAUCCUACACACAACGCUUGGCGCGCAUUUGAAAAGCGAAAGCACAACUGAGGUUUGAAGCAAAACAACUCUGAGUUGUGAAAAUGGAGGAUGAUGGAGAGAAAUCAAGCUUUGUCAUCGGCAUGAUUGAGAACAGAGCUAAAGAGGUAGGAGUUGCAGCUUUGGACUUGAGAUCUGCAGCGCUUCACCUUUCUCAGUACAUUGAAACCAGUAGUUCUUACCAGAAUACCAAGACCUUGUUGCAAUUUUAUGACCCAAUGUCGAUUAUUGUUCCACCUAACAAGUUGGCUCCUGAUAGUAUGGUUGGAGUGUCCGUAAUUGUAGACAGAUAUUACUCUGCAAGCAAGAAGAUAAUAAUGGCCCGUGGCUGCUUUGAUGACACCAAGGGAGCUGUCUUGGUCAAAAACUUGGCAGCAAAGGAUCCCUCGGCCCUUGGUCUUGAUAGUUACUACAAGCAAUAUUAUCUUUGUUUGGCUGCAGCAGCUGCUACUAUUAGAUGGAUAGAAGGAGAGAAAGGGGUUGUUAUAACUAAUCAUUCGUUAUCGGUCACUUUUAAUGGGUCAUUUGAUCAUAUGAGUAUCGAUGCUACUAGUGUGCAAAACUUGGAACUCAUUGAGCCAUUGCAUUCCAAUCUUUGGGGCACAAGCAACAAGAAAAAAAGCCUCUUCGAUAUGCUUAAAACAACAAAAACCACAGGGGGCACUAGACUACUCCGCGCAAAUCUUCUGCAACCACUGAAGGACAUUGAAACUAUAAAUGCUCGUCUAGAUUGCCUGGAUGAAUUGAUGAGCAAUGAACAGCUUUUCUUUGGACUGUCUCAGGUUCUUCGCAAAUUUCCAAAAGAAACUGAUAGAGUACUAUGUCACUUUUGCUUCAAGCCAAAAGUCACAAACAAGGUCUUGGCUGGUGACAGUGCUAAAAAGAGCCAAAUAAUAAUAUCAAGCAUUAUACUUCUCAAAACUGCUUUAGAUGCCUUGCCGCUACUCUCCACGGUACUAAAAGAUGCAAAAAGCUUUCUUCUUGGAAACAUCUACAAGUCUAUAAGUGAAAAUGAAAAAUAUGCACUCAUCAAACAAAGAAUUGGAGAAGUGAUAGAUGACGAUGUAGUCCAUGCAAGGGUUCCUUUUAUUGCUCGAACACAGCAAUGUUUUGCAAUCAAAGCUGGAAUUGAUGGGCUGCUUGAUGUUGCAAGGAGGACGUUUUGUGAUACUAGUGAAGCAAUACAUAAGCUCACAAACACGUAUCGUGAAGAUUUUAGUCUGCCAAACCUAAAACUUCCUUUUAACAACAGACAAGGGUUUUACUUCAGCAUCCCUCAGAAAGAUGUUAAUGGAAAGCUUCCUAACAAGUUCAUUCAGGUUGUCAAACAUGGAAACAAUCUACACUGCUCUACCUUGGAACUUGCAUCUCUAAAUGUCCGAAACAAAUCUGCAGCUGCAGAGUGCUGUGUGAGAACAGAACUAUGCUUGGAAGCUCUCAACAAUUCCAUCAGGGAAGAUGUAUCUGCACUCACUUUGCUUGCAGAAGUCUUGUGCCUUUUGGAUAUGAUUGUCAAUUCAUUUGCUCACAUGAUAUCAACCAAGCCAGUUGAUCGGUAUAUUAGACCAGGAUUCACAGAUAGUGGCCCUUUGGCGAUUGAUGCUGGAAGACAUCCUAUCCUUGAGAGCAUACACAACGACCUUAUUCCUAACAAUGUUUUUCUUUCAGAAGCAUCAAACAUGGCGGUUGUUAUGGGUCCAAACAUGAGUGGCAAAAGCACUUACCUCCAACAAGUGUGUCUUAUUGUCAUCCUUGCUCAGAUAGGUUGCUACUUACCUGCUCGAUUCGCUACUAUAAGAGUUGUUGAUCGAAUAUUUACGCGAAUGGGGGCUAUAGACAAUCUUGAAUCAAAUUCUAGUACGUUCAUGACAGAGAUGAGAGAGACAGCAUUCAUAUUGCAGAAUGUUUCUCCAAGAAGUUUGAUUGUCAUGGAUGAACUUGGGAGGGCGACUUCUUCGUCCGAUGGAUUUGCGAUAGCAUGGAGUGUCUGCGAGCAGCUGCUAUCUCUAAAAGCGUAUACUAUAUUUGCCACUCAUAUGGAAAACCUUUCAGAAUUGGCAACCCUCUACCCUAACGUGAAAAUUCUACACUUUCAUGUCGACAUAAGAAACAAUCGCUUGGAUUUCAAGUUUCAGCUGAAGGAUGGGCCUCGACAUAUUCCCCACUAUGGCCUUCUACUUGCAGGUGUAGCAGGACUUCCCAAUCCCGUAAUUGAGACAGCCUCAGUCAUCACUUCAAGACUAUUAGAACAGGGAGCUAAGAAAAUGAAGGUGAAUGAACUACAACACUAUCCCGUUCAGAUGCUUUACCGUGUGGCUCAAAGGCUGAUAUGCUUGAAGCACUCUAAUCAUGAUGAAGAAACGAUAAGAGAAGCACUUCAAACUCUCAAAGAGAGCUACCUUAGUGGCAGAUUGUAGAGCUUGAGAAACGGGUGCUUCUCAAGCUCUUCCCUCUCAUUGGAUCUUUUGUAUAGUAGGAAACUUCAGAUUCGGAUAUAAUACAGGGUGUUCCAUAGAAGUUGACAAGUUUAAGGAAGUUGACAACUGCGAAGAGCCAGACUAUACAUAAUCCAUACUUCUGCCUAGAAGUUAUGAUGGUUGCAUAAAAAAAGUUAGAUAACUAUACAUGAAUAAUCCUGGGACAAACCUAUGCCGAAUGUAAUGGAUUUUAUAUCAACAAACAAUACAGAAUGGUGGGUGGUGUACUGGUGUAGCAAGGAUGACUGAGCGAUUGUAGAAGCAACAGGGUAGACAUUUGCAAUACCAGCAACAGUUGGAUCCUUAUUCAUAUUCACUCUUGAUGGUUUAUUUUAUUAUAAUACUCCUUAUCAUUGUAUGAACAACCUUGAACAUAUUUCACUAGGGCUCCAGGGUUUACUAGUUCAUCUUUCCUCGUUGCAUUCAAGCUGCAAGAAAAUCAACUCACCACAUUACACUCCCUACAAUCUAUAUCUACACUUGGGUCAUUGUAGUUCUUGGAGCAACACCUUGUACACAAAAAUACUAGAUUCAACACUAACAGGACAUCUCAAAAGA